UACGUAGGGGGCAAGCGUUGUCCGGAUUUAUUGGGCGUAAAGAGCGUGUAGGCGGCCAGACAGGUCAGCUGUGAAAACUCGAGGCUCAACCUCGAGACGUCGGUUGAAACCGUCUGGCUAGAGUCCGGAAGAGGAGAGUGGAAUUCCCGGUGUAGCGGUGAAAUGCGCAGAUAUCGGGAAGAACACCCGUGGCGAAGGCGGAUCUCUGGGCCAUUACUGACGCUGAGGAGCGAAAGCGUGGGGAGCGAACAGG
rnacentral:rRNA from 1 species